rnacentral:rRNA from 1 species
AUACGGAGGGUGCAAGCGUUAAUCGGAAUUACUGGGCGUAAAGCGCGCGUAGGCGGAUGAUUAAGUCAGUUGUGAAAGCCCUGGGCUCAACCUAGGAACUGCAUCUGAUACUGGUCGUCUAGAGUUUAAGAGAGGGAAGUGGAAUUCCAGGUGUAGCAGUGAAAUGCGUAGAUAUCUGGAGGAACAUCAGUGGCGAAGGCGACUUCCUGGCUUAAAACUGACGCUGAGGUGCGAAAGCGUGGGUAGCGAACGGGAUUAGAAACCCUAGUAGUCC